rnacentral:tRNA from 1 species
GGUGCCAGGGAGCAGCCUGCAAAGCUGUCUACGCGGGUUCGAUUCCCGCCACCG